AUCAGAAGCUCGGCCCUGAUUUGUCCAAGAGCUGUUUAUGAACUGAAACCCUAAACUGCACUGGUAUAUGCACUGGUGUAAGUUGCCAUGGUGGGAUGAUGGAAUACUGCAGCUGUGUGGAAUAGCAGGCCUCUAAAAGCAAUAUGUGGAGCGGACCUGAGCAGCUUCGUUUUCACCAUGCACAAAUGAAACACACCACAAACAAACAACAAUCAAACCUGCACUAUUUUACAGUUCAAUGUGAGACCACUUAAAUGCUGAAAUAGGCCAGAUGGGUGAACAGGCUCAGUCUUGAAGGGGGUGUUUAGUCACUAUGAAGAUUCGAGCAGGCCGCAAUGCAGCCCUUUCACGCAAGCUCUGCAGUCUCUGCCCACCAGCACCCUGUCGGCCUGUAUUAAUGGUGCGAUCACAAAGCAUUAUUCGGGAAAGUUCUGCAUGGAGGCUGAGAUGUUAACAGUCUCUACCCUUCUGAGAGGGCUUUUACUAGAUGUUGGAACAUUGGUGUGAGGAUUUGAUAGGAGCCACAAGAGCAU